CAUAACAAUUUCGGCAACUAACUUUAUUAACAAUCCGCAAGUCUGGAAAAGUGAUAUGAUAUAUAUGUAGAUGAUUUUAUGGUUUCUCAAUAAUACAAACAAGUAAAGACAUAGUUUCAAAAUACAAAUGGCGAACACAUGGAUGGAUUUGUGUGACUAAUUAAGAUGGAUAUAUAACGAAAUUGUUCCAAAACCUUUCACUUCUUAAAACACUUUAUUCUAAAACAAAACAACGCUAACGUUGGCUAAAGCUCCUUAGUAUCAUGCAUGCAUGAAAGCUUAAUGUUUACCACCACCUCCUCCAACACCAACACCAAACCCUCCACCAUGACCCGAACCUCCACCUAUGCCACCACCACCUCCUCCACCGCCACCUCCCCCUCCGCCCCCUCCUCCACCAAUUCCUCCACCCCCUACACCACCUCCUGCUCCAAACCCACCACCAUGACCUGAACCUCCACCAACUCCUCCUCCUCCACCACUACCACCUCCUCCACCACCACCAAUUCCUCNNN
rnacentral:lncRNA from 1 species